CUGUGGCACCUUUGAGCACUUAUUCCUAAUUGCUUCGUUUGUGCUCGACGUCGCUAAUGGUUCGCAGACGAGACACACAUGUGGAGACGCAGUCAAGAGGCAGAGAUGAUGGAGCGGUACAUGGGGACGCUGUACGCACCGAUAUCCUGACCGCUCAGGCUACCGAGCAAGAACAACAGACGGAAAUCAGCACCAGCACGCGUGUAAAUAUAUGUAUAUACACACACACAGAUGUGCGUACAGGUUCAGGGACUUGGAGGGAAAAAAACAAACACAGACGGGAGGAUUUUUUUGGUAACGUCCACACUCUCUUUAGCAUGCAUGGAUAGGCUGUCACAUCCAAACGCACACAUGCAUUUUGGCCAACUAUGUCCUCAUCGCCUGCAUGCGUAGAUAAGUAUAUGUGUGUGCGAGUGCGUCCUCUCCGGAUAGACCACAGCGCACAGCUGGCGAGGAGAGAGAGACCCGAGUGUGUCAGUGCGGUCAGGUCAGGGGCCCCGUCUCUCUCCGCUUUCUCCAACGUCCAACUUCUUCUCUGCCUUGUCUUCCUCUUGUUUUAAACUUCGCCUUCCUCCCUCUCGGUCACUUUUUGGCACGUUGAUGCGUCUGUCUGCCCGGUUUGUCCAGACGCUGGCCCUUCCCGGGUUUCUCCCAAUGCACAUAUACAAACACACGCGGAUGGAAAUUUUUGAGGAAGACAAUGAGAGAGACAGAACUCCAGAGACACAUGUAUUUAGAAAUCCUGAGACACAUUUUGAACAAACACAAAAAAGUAUUGAUAUUUUCAGUAGGUUGUUCAGCAGCUGGUUCACACGGUCACAAACAUCUCCCGUCACCCUCUUUUGGAGGGUGUGCUCUAUCGUGUGUGUGUGUGCUGACCACUUUACAAAGGCUCAAACAAAACAGUCACACUCAACACUCACCAAACACCACACGGGAAACCAACUCAUCUAAAUAGAGUCAUGGGUCAGGACCAAAGUGACUUUCAUCCUUCACAACAGAGACAGAGGAGUGCCACACAAAAGCGAAGACUGAAUCCCUGAAGGAAGGAAGGCUUUGCUCCGUGGUUGAAGUCACUAAUGAAGAAGGACGUCUGAAGUGCAGAGAUUUGAACAUGUGUAUCUUCAAGGGUCUAAUUCCGGAAAUCAAAAUGACACAGUCAUCAAGGAGGAUCCCAGCGUGAUAAUCCCGGGGUGAAUAUUAUUUGUUUGUCAACGAGGGCAGCGUUGACUUAAGGCCCACACCGGCUCUCACGGGGGCCGUCGGCGAUACGCCGACCCGACCCAGUUCCAACCGACGGCUGACCUACUUAUUCCGCUUGACCUGCUGCAACAGAAGACGGCGCGGCGGCCAUCGUGAGCUUCCUUCACGGUUUUCCUCCGACAGUCAGAGCUGGUGGAAAUAAGCAGAAGGUUUGCACUGCGCAGAGAGAAACCAGAGCACGGCGUUCACUGUGUACAUGUUUCUGCUGGAACGAGAACACAAACAUUGAAUAUAGAUAAGCAGGCUUUAUCUUAGUGAGUGUGGGUUAUCACAUUCAUAGCACGGGCGCGGAGAUACCGAUCAGAGAUACAUUCAGUUCCAGUUUUGACUUUGGACUCAAGGUUAUGGAAUCCAAUGCUAUCGAUGUUUUGUUUUGUUUUCAAAAAAUCCCGUGCUCACUACUUUUAAAAAAGAAAACGAAAAUGUACUUAUACUUGUAAGUGUAUCAUUAUCUCUACACGUGUCACUUUCCGACUGAUUAUUUUGUUUUUCCAUGUACAACCUUGAAG
ensembl:lncRNA